UUUCACGCCAAGUAUACAUUU
rnacentral:piRNA from 1 species